CCUUUGACCUCAAAUCAGGUAGGACUACCCGC
rnacentral:rRNA from 1 species